GGGCUCUUAGCUCAGCUGGUUAGAGCACCUGCCUUACAAGCAGGGGGUCACUGGUUCGAAUCCAGUAGGGCCCACAA
rnacentral:tRNA from 1 species